UUAAACGUUUGACUGACUUCGGUGCAUUUGUUGAAGUAUUGCCAGGUAUCGAUGGACUUGUUCACGUAUCACAAAUUUCACACAAACGGAUUGAAAAUCCAAAAGAAGCUCUUAAAGUUGGUCAAGAAGUUCAAGUUAAAGUUCUUGAAGUUAACGCAGAUGCAGAACGCGUGUCACUUUCUAUUAAAGCUCUUGAAGAACGUCCAGCCCAAGAAGAAGGACAAAAAGAAGAAAAACGUGCUGCUCGUCCACGUCGUCCAAGACGUCAAGAAAAGCGUGAUUUCGAACUUCCAGAAACACAAACAGGAUUUUCAAUGGCUGAUUUGUUUGGUGAUAUCGAACUUUAAUCAAAUUGAAAAUUCACAAAAUCCUUUGUUUACUAAACAAGGGAUUUUUCUGGCUCUUUGUCAACUGUAGUGGGUUGAAGAAAAGCUAAGGUUGAGAAAGGACAAAUUUCGUCCUUUCUUUUUUGAUGUUCAGAGCGAUAAAAAUCCGUUUUUUGAAGUUUUCAAAGUUCCGAAAACCAAAGGCAUUGCGCUUGAUAAGUUUGAUGAGAUUAUUGGUCGCUUCCAAUUUGGCGUUUGAAUAGGGUAGUUGAAGGGCGUUGACGAUUUUCUCUUUGUCCUUUAGAAAGGUUUUAAAGACAGUCUGAAAAAUAGGAUGAACCUGCUUAAGAUUGUCCUCAAUGAGUCCGAAAAAUUUCUCCGGUUCCUUAUUCUGAAAGUGAAACAGCAAGAGUUGAUAGAGCUGAUAGUGAUGUUUCAAGUCUUGUGAAUAGCUCAAAAGCUUGUCUAAAAUCUCUUUAUUGGUUAAAUGUAUACGAAAAGUAGGACGAUAAAAUCGCUUAUCACUCAGUUUACGGCUAUCCUGUUGAAUGAGUUUCCAGUAGCGCUUGAUAGCCUUGUAUUCAUGGGAUUUUCGAUGAAACUGAUUCAUGAUUUGAACACGCACACGACUCAUAGCACGGCUAAGAUGUUGUACAAUGUGAAAGCGAUCAAGAACNGCAUUCGGGAGUGAAAUAGAACCUGAAACCGUGUGCCUACAACAAGUUCGAGCCCGUUAAUGGGUGAGAGCGUGCCUUUUGUAGAAUGAACCGGCGAGUUACGUUAUGAUGCGAGGUUAAGUUGAAGAGACGGAGCCGUAGGGAAACCGAGUCUGAAUAGGGCGCCUUAGUAUCAUGACGUAGACCCGAAACCAUGUGACCUACCCAUGAGCAGGUUGAAGGUGCGGUAAGACGCACUGGAGGACCGAACCAGGGCACGUUGAAAAGUGCUUGGAUGACUUGUGGGUAGCGGAGAAAUUCCAAACGAACUUGGAGAUAGCUGGUUCUCUCCGAAAUAGCUUUAGGGCUAGCGUCGACAUUAGAGAUUCUUGGAGGUAGAGCACUGUUUGGGUGAGGGGUCCAUCCCGGAUUACCAAUCUCAGAUAAACUCCGAAUGCCAAUGAAUUAUGGUCGGCAGUCAGACUGCGAGUGCUAAGAUCCGUAGUCGAAAGGGAAACAGCCCAGACCACCAGCUAAGGUCCCAAAAUAAUUGUUAAGUGGAAAAGGAUGUGGGGUUGCACAGACAACUAGGAUGUUAGCUUAGAAGCAGCUAUUCAUUCAAAGAGUGCGUAAUAGCUCACUAGUCGAGUGACCCUGCGCCGAAAAUGUACCGGGGCUAAAACAAUUUACCGAAGCUGUGGAUACCUUUAUAGGUAUGGUAGGAGAGCGUUCUAUGUGUGAUGAAGGUAUACCGUGAGGAGUGCUGGAACGCAUAGAAGUGAGAAUGCCGGUAUGAGUAGCGAAAGACAGGUGAGAAUCCUGUCCACCGUAAGACUAAGGUUUCCAGGGGAAGGCUCGUCCGCCCUGGGUUAGUCGGGACCUAAGGAGAGACCGAAAGGUGUAUCCGAUGGACAACAGGUUGAUAUUCCUGUACUAGAGUAUGUAGUGAUGGAGGGACGCAGUAGGCUAACUAAAGCAGACGAUUGGAAGAGUCUGUCUAAGCAGUGAGGUGUGAAUUGAGUCAAAUGCUUAAUUCUAUAACAUUGAGCUGUGAUGGGGAGCGAAGUUUAGUAGCGAAGUUAGUGACGUCACACUGCCAAGAAAAGCUUCUAGCGUUUAAACAUACUCUACCCGUACCGCAAACCGACACAGGUAGUCGAGGCGAGUAGCCUCAGGUGAGCGAGAGAACUCUCGUUAAGGAACUCGGCAAAAUGACCCCGUAACUUCGGGAGAAGGGGUGCUGACUUUAAGUCAGCCGCAGUGAAUAGGCCCAAGCAACUGUUUAUCAAAAACACAGCUCUCUGCUAAAUCGUAAGAUGAUGUAUAGGGGGUGACGCCUGCCCGGUGCUGGAAGGUUAAGAGGAGUGCUUAGCGUAAGCGAAGGUAUGAAUUGAAGCCCCAGUAAACGGCGGCCGUAACUAUAACGGUCCUAAGGUAGCGAAAUUCCUUGUCGGGUAAGUUCCGACCCGCACGAAAGGCGUAAUGAUUUGGGCACUGUCUCAACGAGAGACUCGGUGAAAUUUUAGUACCUGUGAAGAUGCAGGUUACCCGCGACAGGACGGAAAGACCCCAUGGAGCUUUACUGCAGUUUGAUAUUGAGUGUCUGUACCACAUGUACAGGAUAGGUAGGAGUCUAAGAGAUCGGGACGCCAGUUUCGAAGGAGACGCUGUUGGGAUACUACCCUUGUGUUAUGGCCACUCUAACCCAGAUAGGUGAUCCCUAUCGGAGACAGUGUCUGACGGGCAGUUUGACUGGGGCGGUCGCCUCCUAAAAGGUAACGGAGGCGCCCAAAGGUUCCCUCAGAAUGGUUGGAAAUCAUUCGCAGAGUGUAAAGGUAUAAGGGAGCUUGACUGCGAGAGCUACAACUCGAGCAGGGACGAAAGUCGGGCUUAGUGAUCCGGUGGUUCCGUAUGGAAGGGCCAUCGCUCAACGGAUAAAAGCUACCCUGGGGAUAACAGGCUUAUCUCCCCCAAGAGUUCACAUCGACGGGGAGGUUUGGCACCUCGAUGUCGGCUCGUCGCAUCCUGGGGCUGUAGUCGGUCCCAAGGGUUGGGCUGUUCGCCCAUUAAAGCGGCACGCGAGCUGGGUUCAGAACGUCGUGAGACAGUUCGGUCCCUAUCCGUCGCGGGCGUAGGAAAUUUGAGAGGAUCUGCUCCUAGUACGAGAGGACCAGAGUGGACUUACCGCUGGUGUACCAGUUGUCUUGCCAAAGGCAUCGCUGGGUAGCUAUGUAGGGAAGGGAUAAACGCUGAAAGCAUCUAAGUGUGAAACCCACCUCAAGAUGAGAUUUCCCAUGAUUAUAUAUCAGUAAGAGCCCUGAGAGAUGAUCAGGUAGAUAGGUUAGAAGUGGAAGUGUGGCGACACAUGUAGCGGACUAAUACUAAUAGCUCGAGGACUUAUCCAA
rnacentral:rRNA from 1 species